GUGAGCGCUGGCGGUAGGCCUAACACAUGCAAGUCGAACGGCAGCACAGUAAGAGCUUGCUCUUACGGGUGGCGAGUGGCGGACGGGUGAGGAAUACAUCGGAAUCUACUUUUUCGUGGGGGAUAACGUAGGGAAACUUACGCUAAUACCGCAUACGACCUACGGGUGAAAGCAGGGGAUCUUCGGACCUUGCGCGAUUGAAUGAGCCGAUGUCGGAUUAGCUAGUUGGCGGGGUAAAGGCCCACCAAGGCGACGAUCCGUAGCUGGUCUGAGAGGAUGAUCAGCCACACUGGAACUGAGACACGGUCCAGACUCCUACGGGAGGCAGCAGUGGGGAAUAUUGGACAAUGGGCGCAAGCCUGAUCCAGCCAUACCGCGUGGGUGAAGAAGGCCCUCGGGUUGUAAAGCCCUUUUGUUGGGAAAGAAAAGCAGCAGGUUAAUACCCCGCUGUUCUGACGGUACCCAAAGAAUAAGCACCGGCUAACUUCGUG
rnacentral:rRNA from 1 species